rnacentral:rRNA from 1 species
AAAGUUUGAUCAUGGCUCAGAUUGAACGCUGGCGGCAGGCCUAACACAUGCAAGUCGAACGGUAACUUUUCUAGCUUGCUAGAAGAUUACCAGUGGCGGACGGGUGAGUAAUGCUUGGGAACUUGCCUUUGCGAGGGGGAUAACAGUUGGAAACUACUGCUAAUACCGCAUAAUGUCUACGGACCGGACGGGGCUUCGGCUCCGGCACAAAGAGAGGCCCAAGUUAGAUUAGCUAGUUGGUAAGGUAACCGCUUACCAAGGCGACUAUCUCUACCUGUUCUGAGAAGAACAUCCCCCGCACUGGGACUGAGACCCGGCCCCUACUCCUACGGGAGGCCGCAGUGGGGAAUAUUGCACAAUGGGGGAAACCCUGAUGCCCCAUGCCGCGUGUGU